UUCAGGCCUAACACAUGCAAGUCGAGCGGAAACGAGUUGUCUGAACCUUCGGGGAACGAUAACGGCGUCGAGCGGCGGACGGGUGAGUAGUGCCUGGGAAAUUGCCCUGAUGUGGGGGAUAACCAUUGGAAACGAUGGCUAAUACCGCAUAAUAGCUUCGGCUCAAAGAGGGGGACCUUCGGGCCUCUCGCGUCAGGAUAUGCCCAGGUGGGAUUAGCUAGUUGGUGAGGUAAUGGCUCACCAAGGCGACGAUCCCUAGCUGGUCUGAGAGGAUGAUCAGCCACACUGGAACUGAGACACGGUCCAGACUCCUACGGGAGGCAGCAGUGGGGAAUAUUGCACAAUGGGCGCAAGCCUGAUGCAGCCAUGCCGCGUGUAUGAAGAAGGCCUUCGGGUUGUAAAGUACUUUCAGCAGUGAGGAAGGUGGUAGUGUUAAUAGCACUAUCAUUUGACGUUAGCUGCAGAAGAAGCACCGGCUAACUCCGUGCCAGCAGCCGCGGUAAUACGGAGGGUGCGAGCGUUAAUCGGAAUUACUGGGCGUAAAGCGCAUGCAGGUGGUUUGUUAAGUCAGGUGUGGAAGCCCGGGGCUCAACCUCGGAAUUGCAUUUGAAACUGGCAGACUAGAGUACUGUAGAGGGGGGUAGAAUUUCAGGUGUAGCGGUGAAAUGCGUAGAGAUCUGAAGGAAUACCGGUGGCGAAGGCGGUCCCCUGGACAGAUACUGACACUCAGAUGCGAAAGCGUGGGGAGCA
rnacentral:rRNA from 1 species